CAGUACUUGACUGAUGCAAAAUAGGUAUUAAAUAAAUAUUUGAUUAAUAAAAAUUGAGAAGAGUAUUAAAAACUUCUUUUAAUUUUAAUUUUUUCUCAGACCUCUCAGAGAUGAAGAAUAUUAAAAGCUUUAAAAGAUAAGGAAGCAUCACAAACCCACAGAGUCCCUGAGAGAUGGAUUUUACUGGGAGGCGGAAUGCUAACUUUGCUCAAAGAUGUGUAAAUGCCACGUGCCCAGAUGGUCCUUUUGCCUAUUCAUAGGGAGAGGCUCAGAAACACACAUGCAUCUUUCUGUGGCAGCCUGAAGCAGAUGGACGAGCGGAAACCAUGUCACAAGAAGACAUAACUAGAUA
rnacentral:lncRNA from 1 species